GAAUAAGUACUAAAUGAUUUUAUUAAUUUGUAAAUGGCUCCUCAUUAGGAGGAGUGAAUAAAACCUUCUUACAAAAAUAAUCUACGGUGGCGUGAUACGCCACUAGCCAAUUCAUCCCUAAAAUUACAUCAAAAUUCUCCGUGUCUAAUUCUAUUAGGUCUACAGUUAGUUUCCUAUUUGCUAUCUCUACGGCACAAGCCUUGUAGGCAACUUCUCCCAAUAGUGUUACACUCCCAGCAGUAGACACAAAUAACAUUGAAUCAAGUUUAUUAGGUAAUACAUUCAAUUUUGAUGCAAAAAUAGGUGAAACAAAUGAAUGCGAUGUAUUAGUGUCAAUCAAAACAUGAGCAAGAUGGUUACAGAUAGUGUACAUACCCUGAACCACGUUUGGGUCGGCUUCGGCAUCCUGCUGGAUGAGGUUGUAAGCUCUGCCCUGAAUAAGGUGUCUGCCCUUAUUGGUUCCUCAGGCACUCUCUCGCAUAAUGUUGGCACUACCACAUAUGCGAUAGGUGUUGUUGAGGCGGUAACAGGGUUUGUCCCCGUGAUCCCUGCCGCAAUGCUAACAGAUCUUAGCACGUCCUCCCACUAGAGCUUGAGGG
rnacentral:lncRNA from 1 species